UGGCAGGGCGGCGGCUACCAUGCAGUCGAGCGGAGAUGAGGUGCUUGCACCUUAUCUUAGCGGCGGACGGGUGAGUAAUGCUUAGGAAUCUGCCUAUUAGUGGGGGACAACAUUCCGAAAGGAAUGCUAAUACCGCAUACGUCCUACGGGAGAAAGCAGGGGAUCUUCGGACCUUGCGCUAAUAGAUGAGCCUAAGUCGGAUUAGCUAGUUGGUGGGGUAAAGGCCUACCAAGGCGACGAUCUGUAGCGGGUCUGAGAGGAUGAUCCGCCACACUGGGACUGAGACACGGCCCAGACUCCUACGGGAGGCAGCAGUGGGGAAUAUUGGACAAUGGGGGGAACCCUGAUCCAGCCAUGCCGCGUGUGUGAAGAAGGCCUUAUGGUUGUAAAGCACUUUAAGCGAGGAGGAGGCUACUGAGACUAAUACUCUUGGAUAGUGGACGUUACUCGCAGAAUAAGCACCGGCUAACUCUGUGCCAGCAGCCGCGGUAAUACAGAGGGUGCGAGCGUUAAUCGGAUUUACUGGGCGUAAAGCGUGCGUAGGCGGCUUUUUAAGUCGGAUGUGAAAUCCCCGAGCUUAACUUGGGAAUUGCAUUCGAUACUGGGAAGCUAGAGUAUGGGAGAGGAUGGUAGAAUUCCAGGUGUAGCGGUGAAAUGCGUAGAGAUCUGGAGGAAUACCGAUGGCGAAGGCAGCCAUCUGGCCUAAUACUGACGCUGAGGUACGAAAGCAUGGGGAGCAAACAGGAUUAGAUACCCUGGUAGUCCAUGCCGUAAACGAUGUCUACUAGCCGUUGGGGCCUUUGAGGCUUUAGUGGCGCAGCUAACGCGAUAAGUAGACCGGCCUGGGGAGUACGGGUCGCAAGACUAAAACUCAAAAUGAAUUGACGGGGGCCCGCACAAGCGGUGGGAGCAUGUGUUAAUUCGAUGCACGCGAAGAACCUUUACCUUGGCUUUGACAUACUAGAAACUUCAGGAGAUGAUGGUGCUUUCGGGAUCUAGGAUACAGUGCUGCAUGGCUGUCGUCCAGCUCCAGUCCUGGGAAUGUCGGUAGUCCGCAACAGAGCCAACCUCUUGCCUUACCUGCCAGAUCGGAUUGACCUUAGAUAUCUUGC
rnacentral:rRNA from 1 species